rnacentral:misc_RNA from 1 species
AAAAUAAACAGUCUGAUAAAGGUUCAUUAAGUUCUGGCUCUGGGAAGACAGAUGGGUCCAAUGUAAGAAGGUCAAGUCGAGAAACAAAGCAAGUUGCUUCAAGCCCAUCAAGUAUAAGGAAGUCGAAGCGUCUUGAGAAGCAGUCACCAACCCCGCCUAUUGUUAAGAGGAGAGCUGCAUUAAUUAAGAAACCAAAUUCUCCAAGCCCUUUAAGAAGGUCUGACAGGGGUAAGAAACAUACCUUAUCUAGCUCGUCAAGAUCAAAUUACGUUGGAAUA